rnacentral:rRNA from 1 species
GUUGGGGUGACGGCGUGCCUUUUGAAGAAUGAGCCUGCGAGUUAGUGGCAUGUGGCGAGGUUAACCCGUGUGGGGGAGCCGUAGCGAAAGCGAGUCCGAAAUGGGCGGCCGGAGUCGCAUGUUCUAGACCCGAAGCGAAGUGAUCUAUCCAUGGCCAGGUUGAAGCGCGAGUAAAACCGCGUGGAGGACCGCACCCACCUAGGUUGAAAACUGGGGGGAUGAGCUGUGGAUAGGGGUGAAAGGCCAAUCAAACUUCGUGAUAGCUGGUUCUCCCCGAAAUGCAUUUAGGUGCAGCGUCGCGUGUUCCUUACUGGAGGUAGAGCUACUGGAUGGCUGAUGGGCCCAACCAGGUUACUGACGUCAACCAAACUCCGAAUGCCGGUAAGUGUGAGCGCGGCAGUGAGACUGCGGGGGAUAAGCUUCGUAGUCGAGAGGGAAACAGCCCAGACCACCAGCUAAGGCCCCUAAGCGUGUGCUAAGUGGGAAAGGAUGUGGAGUUGCACAGACAACCAGGAGGUUGGCUUAGAAGCAGCCAUCCUUGAAAGAGUGCGUAAUAGCUCACUGGUCAAGUGAUUCUGCGCCGACAAUUUAGCGGGGCUCAAGCACACCGCCGAAGCUGUGGCAUCUACGCAUGUAGCCAGGCAUCUGCUCCUUGUGGGUGGGUGUCCAGGUGUGUGGAUGGGUAGGGGAGCGUCGUGUGGUGGGUGAAGCGGCAGGGUGACCUAGUCGUGGACGCCACACGAGUGAGAAUGCAGGCAUGAGUAGCGAAAGACGGGUGAGAAACCCGUCCGCCGAAUGACCAAGGGUUCCAGGGCCAGGUUAAUCCGCCCUGGGUAAGUCGGGACCUAAGGCGAGGCCGACAGGCGUAGUCGAUGGACAAGCAGUUGAUAUUCUGCUACCGGCGAAGAACCGCCCAUACCGAGCCCGGUGAUGCUAAGCGCCCGAAGCGCCCGUGAACCCUGCCCUUCGGGGGAGGGAGCGGGUGUGGAGCGCGUGACCCGAACCGGUAGUAGGUAAGCGUAUUAACAGGGGUGACGCAGGAAGGUAGCCCAGCGUGUCUUAUGGCUAGGCGCGUCCAAGGCUGUAGGGCGAGGUGUAGGCAAAUCCGCACCUCAUGUGCCUGAGAGCUGAUGGUGACAGCGGAUGCUGGAUGAUUGGGUGAUCCUAUGCUGCCGAGAAAAACCUCGACGCGAGGUUCUAGCCGCCCGUACCCUAAACCGACUCAGGUGGUCAGGUAGAGAAUACCAAGGCGAUCGAGAGAAUCAUGGUUAAGGAACUCGGCAAAAUGCCCCCGUAACUUCGGGAGAAGGGGGGCCCAACGCGUGAACCACCCGUUGCGGUGGGGAGCGUGAGAGGGCCGCAGAGACCAGGGAGAAGCGACUGUUUACUAAAAACACAGGUCCGUGCGAAGUCGCAAGACGAUGUAUACGGACUGACGCCUGCCCAGUGCUGGAAGGUUAAGAGGACGGGUCAGCCCCUAUUUUGGGGCGAAGCUCAGAAUUUAAGCCCCAGUAAACGGCGGUGGUAACUAUAACCAUCCUAAGGUAGCGAAAUUCCUUGUCGGGUAAGUUCCGACCUGCACGAAUGGCGCAACGACUUCUCCGCUGUCUCGACCAUGAACUCGGCGAAAUUGCAUUACGAGUAAAGAUGCUCGUUACGCGCAGCAGGACGGAAAGACCCCGGGACCUUUACUAUAGCUUGGUAUUGGUGUUCGGUACGGCUUGUGUAGGAUAGGUGGGAGACUGUGAAACGCCCGCGCCAGCGGGUGUGGAGUCAUCGUUGAAAUACCACUCUGGUCGUUCUGGACAUCUAACCUCGGUCCGUGAUCCGGAUCAGGGACAGUGCCUGGUGGGUAGUUUAACUGGGGCGGUUGCCUCCUAAAAAGUAACGGAGGCGCUCAAAGGUUCCCUCAGCCUGGUUGGCAAUCAGGUGUCGAGUGUAAGUACACAAGGGAGCUUGACUGUGAGACGUACAGGUCGAGCAGGGACGAAAGUCGGAACUAGUGACCCGACGGUGGCUCGUGGAAGCGCCGUCGCUCAACGGAUAAAAGGUACCCCGGGGAUAACAGGCUGAUCUUGCCCAAGAGUCCAUAUCGACGGCAUGGUUUGGCACCUCGAUGUCGGCUCGUCGCAUCCUGGGGCUGGAGUUGGUCCCAAGGGUUGGGCUGUUCGCCCAUUAAAGCGGUACGCGAGCUGGGUUUAGAACGUCGUGAGACAGUUCGGUCCCUAUCCGCUGCGCGCGCAGGAAAUUUGAGAAGGCCUGUCCCUAGUACGAGAGGACCGGGACGGACCAACCUCUGGUGUGCCAGUUGUUCCGCCAGGAGCACGGCUGGUUAGCUACGUUGGGAAGGGAUAACCGCUGAAAGCAUCUAAGCGGGAAGCCUGCUUCAAGAUGAGAUUUCCUAGAGGACCUUGUGCCUCGAGAGGCUCCCAGCUAGAACACUGGGUUGAUAGGCCGGAUGUGGAAGCACAGCAAUGUGUCCAGCUGACCGGUACUAAUACGCCGAAGACUUAACCAC